GCCCCUGUAGCUCAGCUGGUUAGAGCAGAGGACUCAUAAUCCUUUUGUCGCGGGUUCAAGUCCCGCCGGGGGCACCA
rnacentral:tRNA from 1 species